CUACGAAGGGGGCAAGCGUUGUUCGGAAUAACUGGGCGUAAAGCGCACGUAGGCGGAAUGUUAAGUUAGAGGUGAAAUCCCAGGGCUCAACCCUGGAACGGCCUUUAAUACUGGCAAUCUAGAGACCGAGAGAGGUGAGUGGAAUUCCGAGUGUAGAGGUGAAAUUCGUAGAUAUUAGGAAGAACACCAGUGGCGAAGGCGGCUCUCUGGCUCGGUACUGACGCUGAGGUGCGAAAGCGUGGGGAGCAAACAGGAUUAGAAACCCUAGUAGUCC
rnacentral:rRNA from 1 species